rnacentral:rRNA from 1 species
AAUAUUGGACAAUGGGGGCAACCCUGAUCCAGCCAUGCCGCGUGUGUGAAGAAGGUCUUCGGAUUGUAAAGCACUUUAAUUUGCGAGGAAGGGCUUUAGGUUAAUACCCUGUUGUCUUCACGUUACCAACAGACUAUGCACCGGCUCACUCUUUGCCAGCAGCCGCGGUAAUACAGAGGGUGCAAGCGUUAAUCGGAAUUACUGGGCGUAAAGCGCGCGUAGGUGGUUCAGUAAGAUGGGUGUGAAAUGCCCGGGCUUAACCUGGGAACUGCUUUCAUAACUGCUGAGCUAGAGUACGGUAGAGGGUAGUGGAAUUUCCUGUAGCGGUGAAAUGCGUAGAUAUAGGAAGGAACACCAGUGGCGAAGGCGACUACCUGGACUGAUACUGACACUGAGGUGCGAAAGCGUGGGGAGCAAA